GAUGAAGAACGUAGCGAAAUGCGAUAAGUAAUGUGAAUUGCAGAAUUCAGUGAAUCAUCGAAUCUUUGAACGCACAUUGCGCCCCUUGGUAUUCCGAGGGGCAUGCCCGUUCGAGCGUCAUUAUACCCCUCAAGCCUAGCUUGGUGUUGGGGCCUGCUGUUACCGGCAGCCCUUAAAAUCAGUGGCGGUGCCAUCUGGCUCUAAGCGUAGUAAUACUUCUCGCUACAGGGUCCCGGUGGAUGCUUGCCAUUAACCCCUAAUUUUCUAUGGUUGACCUCGGAUCGGGUAGGGAUACCCGCUGAACUUAAGCAUAUCAAUAAGCGGAGGA
rnacentral:misc_RNA from 1 species